GUCCACGCCGUAAACGAUGUCGACUAGCCGUUGGGAAACUUGAUUUCCCAGUUGCGUAGCUAACGCGCUAAGUCGACCGCCUGGGGAGUACGGCCGCAAGGUUAAACUCAAAUGAAUUGACGGGGACCCGCACAAGCGGUGGAGUAUGUGGUUUAAUUCGACGCAACGCGAAGAACCUUACCUGCUCUUGACAUCCUGCGAACUUUCCAGAGAUGGAUUGGUGCCUUCGGGAGCGCAGAGACAGGUGCUGCAUGGCUGUCGU
rnacentral:rRNA from 1 species